UACGGAGGGAGCUAGCGUUGUUCGGAAUUACUGGGCGUAAAGCGCACGUAGGCGGCUUUGUAAGUUAGAGGUGAAAGCCCGGGGCUCAACCCCGGAAUUGCCUUUAAGACUGCAUCGCUUGAAUCCGGGAGAGGUGAGUGGAAUUCCGAGUGUAGAGGUGAAAUUCGUAGAUAUCGAGAGGAACACCGGUGGCGAAGGCGGCCUUCUGGACAGUGACUGACGCUGAGACGCGAAAGCGUGGGGGAGCAAACAGG
rnacentral:rRNA from 1 species